ACGAACGCUGGCGGCAUGCCUAACACCUGCAGGUCGAACGAGACCUUCGGGUCUAGUGGCGCACGGGUGCGUAACGCGUGGGAACCUGCCCUUAGGUUCGGAAUAACUCCCCGAAAGGGGUGCUAAUACCGGAUAAUGUCUUCGGACCAAAGGUUUAUCGCCUUUGGAUGGGCCCGCGUUGGAUUAGCUAGUUGGUAGGGUAAAAGCCUACCAAGGCGACGAUCCAUAGCUGGUCUGAGAGGAUGAUCAGCCACACUGGGACUGAGACACGGCCCAGACUCCUACGGGAGGCAGCAGUGGGGAAUAUUGGACAAUGGGCGAAAGCCUGAUCCAGCAAUGCCGCGUGAGUGAUGAAGGCCUUAGGGUUGUAAAGCUCUUUUACCCGGGAUGAUAAUGACAGUACCGGGAGAAUAAGCUCCGGCUAACUCCGUG
rnacentral:rRNA from 1 species